UACAGAGGUCUCAAGCGUUGUUCGGAUUCAUUGGGCGUAAAGGGUGCGUAGGCGGCGCGGUAAGUCGGGUGUGAAAUCUCGGGGCUUAACUCCGAAACUGCAUUCGAUACUGCCGUGCUUGAGGACUGGAGAGGAGACUGGAAUUUACGGUGUAGCGGUGAAAUGCGUAGAUAUCGUAAGGAAGACCAGUGGCGAAGGCGGGUCUCUGGACAGUUUCCUGACGCUGAGGCACGAAGGUCAGGGGGAGCAAAACGGG
rnacentral:rRNA from 1 species